AUUGAACGCUGGCGGCAGGCUUAACACAUGCAAGUCGAGCGGAGAUGAGGUGCUUGCACCUUAUCUUAGCGGCGGACGGGUGAGUAAUGCUUAGGAAUCUGCCUAUUAGUAGGGGACAACAUUCCGAAAGGAAUGCUAAUACCGCAUACGUCCUACGGGAGAAAGCAGGGGAUCUUCGGACCUUGCGCUAAUAGAUGAGCCUAAGUCGGAUUAGCUAGGUGGUGGGGUAAAGGCCUACCAAGGCGACGAUCUGUAGCGGGUCUGAGAGGAUGAUCCGCCACACUGGGACUGAGACACGGCCCAGACUCCUACGGGAGGCAGCAGUGGGGAAUAUUGGACAAUGGGGGAAACCCUGAUCCAGCCAUGCCGCGUGUGUGAAGAAGGCCUUAUGGUUGUAAAGCACUUUAAGCGAGGAGGAGGCUACUGAGACUAAUACUCUUGGAUAGUGGACGUUACUCGCAGAAUAAGCACCGGCUAACUCUGUGCCAGCCGCCGCGGUAA
rnacentral:rRNA from 1 species